GACGAACGCUGGCGGCGCGCUUAACACAUGCAAGUCGAACGGAAAGGCCUGCUUUCCCUUGUGGAUUGCGGGUACUCGAGUGGCGAACGGGUGAGUAACACGUGAGUGAUCUGCCCCCAACUUGGGUAUAAGCCUGGGAAACUGGGUCUAAUUCCCGAUAGGACUGCAGGGUGGUGCCUGUGGUGGAAAACGAUUUUCUAGUGGCUGGGGAUGAGCUCGCGGCCUAUCAGCUUGUUGGUGGGGUAAUGGCCUACCAAGGCGGCGACGGGUAGCCGGCCUGAGAGGGUGGACGGCCACAUUGGGACUGAGAUACGGCCCAGACUCCUACGGGAGGCAGCAGUGGGGAAUAUUGCACAAUGGGCGGAAGCCUGAUGCAGCGACGCCGCGUGGGGGAUGACGGCCUUCGGGUUGUAAACUCCUUUCGACCGCGAGGAAGCCACCUGGUUGGAAGGGUGGUGACGGUAGUGGUAGAAGAAGCACCGGCUAACUACGUG
rnacentral:rRNA from 1 species